rnacentral:rRNA from 1 species
UACAGAGGGUGCAAGCGUUAAUCGGAAUGACUGGGCGUAAAGGGCAUGUAGGUGGCUUUAUAAGUUAGAUGUGAAAUCCCCGGGCUUAACCUGGGAACUGCAUUUAAUACUGUAGAGCUAGAGUAUGGGAGAGGGCAGUGGAAUUUCCGGUGUAGCGGUGAAAUGCGUAGAUAUCGGAAGGAACACCAGUGGCGAAGGCGACUGCCUGGCCUGUUACUGACACUGAGAUGCGAAAGCGUGGGGAGCAAACAGG